UACGGGAUCGUCUAACGGUAGGACCGCGCCCUCUGGAGGCGUGUAUCUUGGUUCGAAUCCAAGUCCCGUAG
rnacentral:tRNA from 1 species